AUGAAAGACCAUUCUGAUUUUUUUGACCAUACCUUUAUUUUGAAAUCUGUACCCCGGAUGUUUUUCCCGCUGCGUCACUUGUAUUUCCGGCGGCAGCAUCAGUGGCUGCAUCUCAGUGGAGUGAUAAAAAAGCAGCACGUUUGCUCGGGAACCGGUUUUCUUUAUCUCUUCUUUUCCUUUUCUUCAGUUUGGUUGUAUCGCUCGUCUGGAGUCGGGGAGUCCUCCUUGACCACCGCGACCAUGUACGGGCCACGCAAACCCGCGCACGGCACGCCGUACGGACCCCCGCCACCACACGGCCCUCCCUUCUCCCACAGGCGGCCCUGUGGACCUGCUCCUCCCGGACACUUGCCCCCGGGACCUUUCGGACCAUUUUCGACACCAGAUAGCCAUUUUCUCCAGAACAGAGCACCAAGAGAGCGUUUCAUGAGUCCCCACUGUAGCAGCUUCUCCAUAGACCGUAGUACGGUGAUGCAGCAUGCAGAACCACCACAACUCCCAAAGUGGAAUCCCACCCCUGUGGAUCAUCAUCUUCAAGACAACAGUCAACGAGCUGGAGAGGAAUUCUUGAGAUGCAUUGCGGCUAAUAAGCCUCUCCCAGAUUAUCUAAAGGGGGACAUGGCAUACAACCUUGCUGAGGCCUUAAAGUCGGCUAAUGUCCUGAAAGAUGUAGUCAAAUCAGACCAUGAGUUCCAGAAGCAUGUGAACCGGAGCGGAAGUCGAAGCAGAAGCCGUGACAGAAGCCGUGGAAAAUCUCGUGCUAAGAGCUCUGCGCGAAGCAGGAGCCGAGUGCGCAGCCGAAGCAGAGGAAGGAGUAAAAGUCACGCUCAUGGCAAGAGUCGCGCUAGAAGCAAAAGCAGGGCAAGAAGCAAGAGCAGGGCAAGAAGCAAGAGCAGGGCAAGAAGCAAAAGCAGGGCAAGAAGCAAGAGCAGGGCAAGAAGCAAAAGCAGGGCAAGAAGCAAGAGCAGGGCCCGCAGUAAGAGUCGGAGCAGCAGCCGAAGCAGGAGGAAAAGUCGUGCACGGAGCAAGAGUCGGGUCAGGAGGUCCGAGUCACGAAGUAGCAGCAUUGAAAAGAGCCGUGCUGCCAACUGUAAUAAUUGGACAGGGAAAAGUCUGUUGCAGGGACUGAAGAUGGUCAUGAACAGCAAGGAACUGGAAGAGCGGUUGCCUACCCUCAAAGACGCCAUCUUCACUAUUCAGACGUCUGACAGCAAAAAGGUUCUGGAUGAGCAUGACGAAGCCAUGAAUUUGGCUUCUCUGGAAAACGACAGUAUGCUUCUUCCCCACGACAGAGUAGGCAGUGACUUCUCCUGGCUCCAAUCAACGAAGGAAGAGGACUCCACAGACAGGAAAGCUGAAGAACUUGAAGACGAGGAGUCGUUCCUAUAUGGGAAUGAAGGCACUGGAAGAAAACCAACCACUAAAUCCUCUACCGCCCUUUUCCCAGUGUUUUCUCAGACCGGAGAACAUUCCAAACUGCAUAAAAUGGAUGUUUCUGCUCCGAGCAGUCAACAGCAUAAUAAGAGCAUGUCCGCACUCGGUAGCUUUGGGGAUCUGCUCGACCUGAAGGUGCCUCUUCAAAUGAUUUCCUCUUUUAACCUGGACAGCGGUGAUUAUGAGAAGAUCAGGAGCAUAUUAAGAAGUCAGGGCACAGCAGACAUCAGCAAUAUCAUGGCGAAGAUGCAGGGGGAGAAGCAGCCGUCUCCUGCAGAUCCAACAGCGGCGGCCUUCGCUUUGCCAGCAAUGAAAAACCCUAAUGUACAGCAAGCUCUGGAAUCUCUACAGUCUCUGAUAAAAGCGACAAAGGAGAAGCGGGAAAAAGGUGACGGCAGUGGCACGCCUCACACCUCUGACAAACACAAGUCAAGUGACGAUGGGGAACUGAAGACAGAGAAACAGGCAAGAAUGAGUAAAAUGGAAUCUUUGAUGAAAGAAAUGGAGGGAUUGAUGAAACAGGACGGACUGAGUUUUCUGACACCAGUGGUUGGGUUUUACUGCCAAAAAUGUGAGGAGUUCAUUGGAGAUUUAAGCUCUGCUGAAAAACAUGCGGCCAUCCACCAACACACUAACUCUAGCAGUAAAAUGCAAGUGGGUCAACAUGCUGGACAGACCACUGAAGGCAGCAAAGGACACUCCCACUCAAUUAGCAGCGGUGGCGGCCAACGACACCCACACCCCUCAGACAGGAGAGAUCACAGGAACUACGCCUACCAGAGAGAUUCAGGAGACCACAGAAAUCGCAGAGACCAGCAGCAGGGCUGGAGGAGUGAGCAGGAUAACAGAGGCAAGGUCGACGACAACUGCAGAAAUCACAGGGAGGGGCCGGAGAACAUCUCCUUGAAGGAGGAGAUGAGUAAGGAGAGGAUGCUCAUCACGGUGUCACGUGGACUGACUCCGCCGAACGUAAAAGUCAAAGAGGGGAAGGUAAAGAAGGAGCAGGCCAUCAAAGGCCAUGGCAAAGUGAAAGUGGAACAAAAGGAUGAAAGCAGCGAUGGUAGUGAAGAUUGCAAAGUCAAAAAGCCUAAAGAGAAAUCGUCUAAAAAGAAAAAGAAGAAGAAGAAAAAGAAACAGAAGGGGGUUCAGUCCUGAUAUGCCCGUACAUUUUUUCUACCUUUGUCUGACAGAUCCCUGACGUCAAGGUCUGAGUUUUAUCUUCUCGCUCCUGGACACCAUGCGGUAGUUUUCCUUUCUCUUCCCAGUUAGCUCUUCUUUGCUGGUGAGAUCAGAAGACGGAGGUAGGCCGUCAGAAGUGAUUCAUCAUUGUCCUUAAAGGAACAGUCUGACCUGUCGGGAAGUGCACACCUACAUUAAUAAGAGAAGAGUAGUAUCAGUUUCAUCUCUGUGCGUCUAGUAUCGAAUGAGUAAUGCGGAUGUUUUGACCUGUUGGAGGCGCCAUCCUCUCGAUACAACCUCUUCCAGUAUUUGUGCUCACCAUGUGUAAACAUGUCCCACAAUGACACACACACAUACACACAUGAAAUCGAUAUUAAUCUUCUCCUUUGGCUGUCGCUACCUUUUCAAACAAGUGCAUUUCCUGACUGUAGACAAGCUCCUCUUACUGUGUCGCUACCAACAGGUUUUUAUAUGAAAAUGACGAUGUAAAUGUUUAACGUUUCAUCUUCUGAUUAAAUGUUUGAAAAAGGAAGCUUGUGUUAUUCCUUAAAACACAUUUAUCUUUCUUCUUGAUACUUAGAAUUUUCGAGCUAGACAUGUAAUAUUUUUCCAUUUUCUACUGACUUGGAUGCAUGAAAAACAACAUGACGCGUCUCUUGUGGUGAAAUUUUAGAUGAAAAAACAAAUAUGUGUGCAAUUUAAUAAAGGAUGACUCAAAGUCAUGUUAUUGUAAAGUGACAACACAAGUACCUUCACCUCUUUGCAGCACAUUACCAAAUUUACAGGUAGGCAGCAGAAUCCUGAACAUUUAGUGCUGACUUUUCUACUUUACAUUGAUAUAUACAGUACAUAUACAUUAUGACAUACUUUUGUCAUUUACACUGGAGGCACGGGCAAUGUUUUGAGUCGCAGUGAGGAGUUUGCAGUAGAACUGUUUUUAUAGGUAGAUACGCAGGUAUCAGUCGCAACACACCUUACAUUGAUACAAAAAUUACAAAUACAAAUGUAAAAAUAUGAAGAAAAAAAAGGAAUAUAUAUAUAUAUGAAGAAUGUACAAAACAUAAUGCUGUAAUGAAGACAGAACUUUCGGUCAUAGCUUCGUCCUACAGCAACGGGUACUGAGCCACGACAUGAGAUGAAGAGAAACGGACGGAGGGUUCACGGGAUGAAGAGCAGCACAGUCUCCAGACGUAAACCUCACGGACACCAGGUGAAGGCAAAGCAAACUACAAGCUCAACACAUCAGUGUCAACUUCUGGGACAAACUUUGUGAACAGUGUUUCGUUUCCAAUUAAAAGAAAGAACUUAAUGAGUGCGUUCAACUGGUAAAUGAG
rnacentral:lncRNA from 1 species